rnacentral:rRNA from 1 species
AUGGCCAUGCUCAUGGCAUGUGCACGAUGCUCCUCUCCUGACUCCUCUGCACUACGUCCGGAAGAACGAUGCGACCUCCGGCAACGCGACGAGCGCGCCGCGCUGGCAAAGCGGCAUGCCGUCGACGUCAAGAGGUUGACGAACGCGCGCGCGCGCAAAGCUGGCCGGGUGCGCGGGCGGUUGGCAUGGUUGCCCUUGCCCGAUCAAUCGUCGUCGCCUCCGUCCUGGCAAAGCUUGCUUUGA